rnacentral:rRNA from 1 species
UACGUAGGGCGCAAGCGUUAUCCGGAAUUAUUGGGCGUAAAGAGCUCGUAGGCGGUUUGUCGCGUCUGCCGUGAAAGUCCGGGGCUCAACUCCGGAUCUGCGGUGGGUACGGGCAGACUAGAGUGGUGUAGGGGAGACUGGAAUUCCUGGUGUAGCGGUGAAAUGCGCAGAUAUCAGGAAGAACACCCGUGGCGAAAGCGGCUCUCUGGAACGGUACUGACGCUGAGACGCGAAAGCGUGGGGAGCGAACAGG